rnacentral:lncRNA from 1 species
GUGAUUAAACUAAUCAUGUAAAUUUAAUUAACUAGGAAGUCAGUGCACUACGGAAAACGUUGGUUUACAGAGUCAUAAUUUUCCGAAUAUAACUUCAGAUAUUUUAAUAUCUGAUCAAUUAGGCUUCUAUUAAUUCAUUAUUAUUAUUACCUUCCGUCAGUCUCAUCUGAACGUCGUAAAUUCUUGAUUAUCUGCACGAACCCAACCCUCUACUAUGAAUCAGUGUAAUGAUUUCGUUUGGAGAAGUAUGGGAGUCAGGCAAGGGACACAGGGAUGAGUGCAAACAAAACAUGUUUACUCAAAACCACAAUAAACUUCUCCCACAGUAAUAAAACAUGGCUGGGAGAAACACCUCCAACAACCACAAAACACGAACAAUCACGGACAAGACAAACAGGGAAGGCAGAGGGUUAAAUAAUGAACCUAAUCAGGGAAUCAAAAACCGGUGGUAUAAUUAAGACAAAACAAAACGAACAGGGAAACAUCGAUCGGUGAUAACUAGUGACGUCGACCGAACAAGGAGAGGGGCCGACUUCGGCGGAAGUCGUGACAAUCAUCCAUACACCAAUUUACUUAAUUAUUUAUUUAUUUACUAACUAAUUAAACAAUUACAGAAUAUACAAUACAUAAUUACAUUAUACAGUACAUACCGUCCCUAGUGGACUAAACAAAAACAGCUUGGUUAUAACACGAUAGAUUCAGAGAGAAGAGAAGGGGGUUUUGGAAGGAAGACUAAGGAACAUGGGAAGCUAUUCUCACAUAAAUACAUAUGCGAUCGCUCAUUCGGAAAAGCAAUGCACAACAAAUAUUAUGGCUGAACUCAAAUGUGCUGGUUGAUAAAAUACCUGUAUUUAUGGGAAAGAUGUUUGAAAAGGGUAUUUUGUUCUUAAAUGACAUUGUAAAUUGGAAUGGUAGUGUUAUGUCCUUCAUGGAGUCCUUCAGAAUUGUACGGGAAGGUCUGUUCAAUUACAACAAAUAGAUUACAGCAUUAUCGCAAAAAUGGAGGAGGCAGGUGGCAGCGGGAGGAGGUAGGGAACUGGUCUGUCUGCCCAAUAUAAAGGAUCAAAACUGGCGGAGGAAUAAAAACAGCAUAAAUAGGAAAGUAUAUCCGUUUCAUUUGAGGACCAGGAUGUUGACAACUGUGCCAUACAGAUUGCAAAAUAGUUGGGAAGAGAUUUUUGAUGUACCGAUUCCAUGGUACAGGGUGUAUGAGUUGAUAUAUAAAACAACGCAAGAUUUAAGACUUCAUGCUUUUCAGCUAAAAUUAUUAUAUAGAAUUCUUGCCACCAACAAAAUGUUUAAUAUUUGGGGCGUAAAAUCACCGAAGCUCUGCAGAUUUUGUUGUGAGGAUACUGUCACGUCCUGACCAGCAGAGGGAGUAAUUGUAUUAGUAUUUGGUCAGGACGUGGCAGAAGGGUAUUUGUUUUGUAUGGUUUAGGUUGAGUGUGAAUAUUGUAGGGGUGUUUGGUUUAGCUAGUCUGGGGUUUUGAGUAUUGUUCUAGUGUUAGUUUUCUAUGGUGUUCUAGUUUGUCUAUUUCUGUGUGGUCUGUGUGGCUCCCGAUCAGGAACAGCUGUACGUCGUUGUUCCUGAUUGGGAGUCAUAUAUUAGUUGCUUGUUUUCACCUGGGGAUUUGUGGGUAGUUUUAUUUUGCACUGCUGUGAGUAUUAGGCUGUGAAACUGUUGGGCUGUUGUUCUUUGUUUUCAUGUGUUCACAUUUAUUUAAUAAAAUAUAAUGAUGAACAUGCAACCCGCUGGUCCUUGGUCUACCCAACGAC